UACGUAGGGAGCGAGCGUUGUCCGGAUUUAUUGGGCGUAAAGGGCGUGUAGGCGGUCUGUUAAGUCUGAAGUGAAAAUCCAGGGCUCAACCCUGGAACUGCUUCGGAUACUGAUGGGCUUGAGUGCUCUAGAGGGUAGUGGAAUUGCCGGUGUAGCAGUGAAAUGCGUAGAGAUCGGCAGGAACACCAGUGGCGAAGGCGACUGCCUGGGGAGUAACUGACGCUGAGGCGCGAAAGCUGGGGGAGCAAACGGG
rnacentral:rRNA from 1 species